rnacentral:lncRNA from 1 species
UCUAGGUCGGAGACCUGAACGGUAUGCAUUGGCCCUGUGAAAAUCCAGGUAAAGAGUAGUAGUCCGGGCAAGGGAAUAGCAAGUAAAAAGGAAAAUUCUCAAAUGAUCUAAGACCAAUUAGAAAAAAAAAAUAUAGCAGAAUACAUUUAGGUUUUUCUUUGUUUGCCUGUUUUUUUUUUUUUUUUUUUCUUUUUUAGACAGAGUCUCACUCUGUUGCCCAGGCUGGAGUGCAAUGGCCCUGUCUUGGCUCACCGCAAUCUCCACCUCCUGGGUUCAAGCGAUUCUUGCACCUCAGCCUCCAAAGUAGCUGGGAUUACAGGUGUGAGCCAGUGUGUCCAGUCUUUGUUUGCUUUUCAGGUUCAAGGAACACAUUGUUCCCUCAAAAAACAGACCGGCAGCUGAGAGAGGAUGGCAAUCCUGAUGGAUGAGAAAAAGAACAGAGCUGUAAGAUUUUUUUCUUUUUGUUGUUUAUGUCAAGGAGAGAAUGAUGUUUGGAAGGGAAACGAUAGACUACUAUUGCAGAGAGGGAAGAGAAGAUGAAUAAAGAGAGGGUGGACACCUGAGAGAAGACUAUAGGACUUCAAACAUCAACCCAUUUCAGUUCUGAUGUCAGCAAGGAGAGAACUGGCAAACUGGGCCAACCGUUUGAUUGACACAUAGAAGGCCAACUGGAUUUAAGGAUUCAAUAUGGACUGCCUCAAAUAUAAAGGGACACAUUUGCUACAUGGUCCAGAGACUUGUGUUCCUGGCCCAGAAUCUCCUUGUCCUAUCAAUUGUUGGAAAGACACUGCCUGCAUUUGCCCUUUUGCCUCUCUCUGUUCUGUACUUGCACUAUCAAAUAAAAACAAUUUCUAAUGGAUAGGCAUGUUUACUCAUAAGAGUUUUUAAGUGAUGUGUAAACUAAAUGCUGAAAUUUUAAGCUAAAAUGCUACUUAUUCGCUUGCAUGGAAAUACUAGGUAAUAACUGACUAAGUGCUGUGCUGACUUUAUGUGGAAGCAAGAUGGAGUUUCAGUAACAUUCUCCACGUGCUGUUCUGAAAAAUCAUGAAUACCUGAUUAUACAUAAAUUCUCUUUGAAAGGGAAUACAGUGUUUUUACUUAGCAGGAACAAAAUGGUUUUUCAGUUUUUCCAUAUAAGCAUCUCUCUUCGAAAUGUUUCAUUUUGGCAAAAGCUAACAGAAUAAUAUAUACAAAGAUGACCAAUGAAAACAGAAACACUGUAAUAAUGGGUUCUGAGAUUACAAAACUGAGAACCUGGGAAUCAAGCCCAGUUCAACAUUUACAAUAAUGGGAUGCUCACUUGCACCUCAUGAUCUAUAAGGGGAUGGUGGAAAAUGAGGAAGUGGAAGGGAGGAGUCUUAUCUGGUUCUCUGCCCAGUCAGUUCAUUGUUGCACUAGAAAGUGAUAUAAAUUCACAGUUCUCUUGUAAGGCUAGGUAAGGACAAGAAAUUCUCAGGGGAAAAUGAUAUAUCCAAUUUAGAAGCUGCAAUAUGGGUCAAAUAAAUAUAAAUGGGAAUAAUAAAUGCCAUCGAAAAAGUCUUGGACUAGGAAAAGCCCAGGGGUACUAGAUAUUGCAACGGUGGCACAUAAGGAAAGCAGUAACAGCAUUUCAUUAGGAUAUUUUAUUACAUGGAAGGAUUUUUUAAAGGAGAAAAUUUAUGUACUUCAUAUAUUUAAUUUGUACUCGAAUAUUUGAAAUGCUCCUUUUGACUAUAUGUAUAUAUAUUAUAUAUAUAUUCUUUUCUAUUUUUAUCACAGAGAGUAAGAUCGCUGAAAUCUCCAUAUUUAUAUUCAUAUAGUAAAAGCCUUCAUUAUAUAAAAAUAAUCUCCAAUGCCCACUCACAGGUCAAGUGUAUCUAACUCCGAGUUAAGAAACUGUAUACUGAAGUACAGCCCCGUCUUGUUCCUUUUAUAGCCAGUCUUUAUGCAAGAAGUCUGAAACAAAUAUUUCAGUGACAUUCCUCUGUAGUAAUGCCCCUUGUUUGUUUUAAAGAUUCAGUUUUUAAAACUUCUAUGCCCAAUUAAGUAGACAUUGUCCAACAGACCCGAUAGGAAAUCACACAUUUAAAAAUAUUACCUCAUAAUAUGUUGUCUUAUUGGUAGAUCUAAUGUAAUGGGUUUUAUAUUUCACUAUAUACAAAAUUUUUAAUAAUAAAAAUAUUUUCUUUAAAUUCACAUCAGAGCACUUUCUGGAUUUGUAAGUACUUUUUGGUUUCAAAAAUACAUGUUAAAUUUGAGAGAGAAUUUCUGGAUUCAGAAAGAGUUUAAUAUUUAACACACAAAAUGUGUUUUAAAUCAUCUGCGCCUUUGACAGCUCAGCUAACAAGCCAAUCUUUAGACUUUAUCAGAAACUUUUGCAUGUGGAAUUAGGGCAGGGACUCCUUGCAAUAAAUUUUUUAAAAUCUUAGCUUCAUUGGCUAAAUUUAAGAGUCUUGAGAUCUGUAAAUGAAGGAGAAUUAUAUAUUAUAAAUUGUCAUGGAAAGAAGGCACGUUUCUAAUUAAACAAAUUCUGACUUAGAAUAAAAUGACUGAAAUUUUUGGUGCUUUUUCCUCUCUAAAUUGUAGCAUUAGAGUAGUAGAUUGAUAUUAGAAGUGUAUUAGCUGAGUCAGUGCUUAGGGAGCAUUUUGAGAUCCUUGGCCUUUAAGUACCAUACACUUUCAAAGAAGCAAUUUUACUUAUAGCUCAAUAUAAUAUAAUGCAAUAUGGAGAAAUAAUGCCAAUGACAGCUUCAUGGGGUGUUGCCCUAUUUAUGAAACCUUAACAUGUCACUUAUGUAUGGCUGCUUAUGCUCCUCCAUACAAGCAGCUAAGACAACAAUUUUACAGAUGCAAAAAUUAAUAAAGAAAACAAAAGGAAGAAAUGAAGGCAGAAAGUGAAAGAAGAAAGAGACCAAAAAAGAUGUCUCAUGAUCACAAGCUAUUCCACAGGCAGAGGCAAAUGAUAAGAUUUGUUUACUUUUUUCUCACCAAAUGUAAUUAUAAAUCACUUGGUUCUUUUUUUACUGUUAAUAUUGUAAAUUCUGUAAAUCUCAAUACAUCUUUUCUGUCCCAAUCCCCAGAUGCCAUGUGGUCAUUUUAUAGAAGGACCAUUUCUCACCCACAUGAACCAAGGUGGUGAAAAAGGGAUGGUUGAUUUAAUACCCUAACUCAGAAUUUAUGUAGAUUUAAAAAUCUCUGACUUAAUGUUGCAUUAACUACUGGUGGCUGCUUUACUGCCUUUAAAACAUGCAUAUAUAAUUGGAUACUGUAAUGCUUUGUGGGUAAAAUAAAUACCAACUCACACUAAAAUAAAUAUUCUGCAUGAUGAAGUUCAUGUAGACAUAAAUUAAUCAUUUACCCGUUAACUGAUAUGCACAGGAAAGAAAUAGAUCACUUAUUAAAGGUUGCCUCAUCUAUAAAAUGGGAAAAUAAAAUGCCGAUAUAUUUUACAGUGCUGCUGUGAGGAAAAAUGUAUAAAAUUAUUGCUAAGCAGUUUAUAAACCAUAAAAUGCAGUAUGAACAUUAAAUUAAUAAUAUUUGUACUAAUUCAGAUUCAACACCCU